AGCGAACGCUGGCGGCAGGCCUAACACAUGCAAGUCGAACGAAGUCCUCGGACUUAGUGGCGGACGGGUGAGUAACACGUGGGAACGUGCCUUUAGGUUCGGAAUAACUCAGGGAAACUUGUGCUAAUACAGAAUGUGCCCUUCGGGGGAAAGAUUUAUCGCCUUUAGAGCGGCCCGCGUCUGAUUAGCUAGUUGGUGAGGUAAAGGCUCACCAAGGCGACGAUCAGUAGCUGGUCUGAGAGGAUGAUCAGCCACAUUGGGACUGAGACACGGCCCAAACUCCUACGGGAGGCAGCAGUGGGGAAUCUUGCGCAAUGGGCGAAAGCCUGACGCAGCCAUGCCGCGUGAAUGAUGAAGGUCUUAGGAUUGUAAAAUUCUUUCACCGGGGACGAUAAUGACGGUACCCGGAGAAGAAGCCCCGGCUAACUUCGUGCCAGCCGCCGCCGUAAAAC
rnacentral:rRNA from 1 species